GGGGGGGGGGGGGGGGGGAGGCGUAGGCCAGACCUUCCCGCCCCUUGAGGGGCCGCCUGCUGGGCGGACACACCUACCGGCUCCUCCUCCUCCUCGGGCAGCGAGAACGUGGAGCGCAGGGACAUGCUGGACUCUGAGUGCAGGGAGCGGACGGAGAUGGCCGAGUCGGAGCGGCGUGGGGUGCUGAUGGGGGGCUGCGGCACACAGGGACAGGCGGGCCCGUCAGCCGGUGGGGAAGCUGGGGCCCCUUCACCCCGCAGAGCCGCCGCCUGUGCCCAGGGAGCCGAUGGGGCGCCCGGGCCCCCUGCCGGCCCAGCGGUCCCGGCCCUGUGGCUGGGCCACCCGCUCACGUCUGCCAGCUUUCUUUGUGUAAAUGGAGAGACUUCCUGCUAUUCAAUUCCAGAAGGACACGCUCGCCUGGCCUGCUUCCUGCUUCCCGUGAGGGAAUGUGGGCUGCACACGGGGCACCUCCAUCAGCCAGUCCCGGGCCGGCCUCCACGCCCGGACUGCCAGAGGAAGGGAAGGCCGGCAGAGGCUGGGGGCUCCACGUCCCCUUGGGUUUGGCUGCCCGUCUGGCUUCCCUGGCUGGGGACACGGGGCCGGGCCACUGAGGCUCCCAGGGAAGGCAGGGACCUCCCCACUGAACCCUGGCCAAGAUUCUCAGAGGGAGGAAGAGCCAUGGGUGCCUGCCUCUGCCUGAGUCAUGGAAGAUGAGGAUCUGGGGGAGCCUGGGUGGGGAAACCGUCCCCUCCCCCCCGCCUUGGCCUAGAACCCCCCAGUAAAGAUCCUGUAAGAGCCACUGCUCCCCACCCAGCCCACGGGCUUCCUCCUGGUCCCGGCCACUCUGGGGAAAAUCCCCUCCCGGGCAGCCAUGGGAAACGAAGGCCUAGCAGCCCAGCAUGAGAAGACUUGGGUCCUGGAGGCUGGGAGGACAGGAGAACCAGCUGGAGUCCGUGGGGCCACCACACUGGCGAGAACCCCGAGAAUCCGUAAGGGGAAGCAGAAAGCGAGGCUCUGCAGAGCAGACAACUUUAAAAACGGAAACGUGAUCUGUGACCCACACGCCUGAACCUGCUGUGGCUCCCAUGGCCUUCAAGACGGAGCUGAAUGUGCUUCGCCCCAGCUCGCAGGCUCUGCACCCUCCGGCCCCACUGCUCCUUCCUCCUCCACAAAGUCCUGCCACGGGCGCUUAGGCCUCACGACGUCCAGACAUACCAGCCCUCUGUCUCACCAACCCACCGUAGCCUGCAGACCGUAGCUCAGGGCGUGCCUCGAGGUGGAGCCUCCCCUUCAGCUACCCCUGGGACCUGGCCCUGGGGAAGGACGGCAUGGCCGGAGGCCGUGGGGAGAGAAGUGACCAUGGCACAGACCUACCAUGCUAUCCUCCUCGUCCCGCGGUGAGUAGGCGAGGGUGCUAGAAGAAGACGGUGUCCUGCGGUGCUGUUUGUAUGUGCUGGUCCCAUCGGCUGCCAAGAAGAGAGGGUGGGGUUGCCACGAGUGUGAUCUGCAGGGGCAUGGCUGGCCCCCCGUGGCGGGAAGUGGGCUCCCUGGACGGACAGGCCCGGUGGGGGCAGGGGCUGGGCCAGACAGGGGGCUAAUCCCCUCUGGGAAGUCUCCUUGCCCCCCACCCUCUCCCGUGUCCUCCUUCUUGAUCUGAGGGCCACUUGGCUGGGGCUGGGCUCGGGGGCAGCUGGGAGCCACCCUGCCCCUGUCAGGGGC